rnacentral:rRNA from 1 species
UAGGGAAUCUUCCGCAAUGGACGCAAGUCUGACGGAGCAACGCCGCGUGAGUGAAGAAGGAUUUCGGUUCGUAAAACUCUGUUGUUAGAGAAGAACAGCGCAUAGAGUAACUGUUAUGCGUGUGACGGUAUCUAACCAGAAAGCCACGGCUAACUACUUGCCAGCAGCUGCGGUAAUACGUAGGUGGCAAGCGUUGUCCGGUUUUAUUGGGCGUAAAGCGAGCGCAGGCGGUCAAUUAAGUCUGAUGUGAAAGCCCCCGGCUCAACCGGGGAGGCUCACUGGGAACUGGUUGACUUGAAUGCACAAGAGGAGGGUGGAAUUCCAUGUGGAGCGGUGAAAUGCGUAGAUAUAUGGAGGAACAACAGUGGCGAAAGCGACUCUCUGGUCUGUAACUGACGCUGUGGCUCGAAAGCGUGGGUAGCAAACAGG